GGAGGCGUGGCCGAGUGGUUGAAGGCGGCAGUCUUGAAAACUGUUGACGCUCGCGCGUCCGUGGGUUCGAAUCCUACCGCCUCCG
rfam:Coriobacteriaceae bacterium CHKCI002 isolate CHKC2 genome assembly, contig: {contig6}